CGACGGUCGAGGUGCGCUCGGUGGUGGGAGGGCGGGGCGGGGCGGGGGUUUUGGGAUCGAUCGGGGGCGGAGAGGGGGAGGCGCCGCGAGCCUUGGCGCGGCCCUAGGUCCUUACCGCAGCCGCCUGUACAAGGGGUUGCAGAGGAAGAGGCUGCAGUUGCGGCGGCGGAGCGUCCUCCGGCGGCCCUUCCGGCACAAGCCGGACCUGGGGCGGUGGCCCCGCCACGCGGAGUCGGAGCAGUCCGGGCCGCGCCUCGUCCGCAAGGUCUAGCUGGAGAGGCUGCGCGUCUAUAAGUUCGACCCCGGCUACCUCACCGAGACGCACUCGCCGCUCUGGCUCCGGUUCCGACCGCACCUUCUCUUUAACAAAAGUUCUCGUUAAUUCCAACAAGAAUCCUGUCUUCGACUCUCGUUUCGGAAGAGAGAUCGAAAAGUUGCUACCUUUGUUGUUUGAUAAUCACCUUUUCGACCACUUAGUAACCUCUUACCUAGUUAUCACCGAACGUUUUCAUUUAAACUAUGUUUUUAACUCCGUAGUAGUCGUGUCUACAUAAAGGUGAUGAUACCGGUCGAUAAUGUAGUCGUUUUAUACAACGUUCUAAAACACUCCUGUCCUUGUAUGAUACGACGACAUUACCUUUUGGCCCGGCUGAAGCUCCCAUUUCAACACCAACUGCAACCUCGACCAUCGCCAUAAGAAAGCAAUAAACGACGUGUCCGACCACGGUUUGUACAGAUACGUCAACUCCGUAGACUUUACCAACUUGUACGGGUUGCCGAAUAAAGACCCUUGGGUAGCAAACCCGUUGCUUAGUGCUAGUAGUUUCCGUUUCAGCUCCUUCAACUUGAAGGUCUUUUUCGACUAUAUGACUAAAGACUCGGAUACCCUUGGGAAAACCACUUACUUUCUUACGACCUCAGGAUACAGUAUCGAUCCCUGUCUAAGGAACGAGGUCUACCAUUUUACAAAGGUUGUUGACCUUCCUAAGUAUACCGAGGUAAAAGGCUACUUAUGGAGAUACAACUUUACCGUUUGUUCAGAGAGAAGACCGUCGUCGUAUUGAAGAAACCACAACUAGAAUGUGGGAACGUACCGAGUCGCAAACUGCCUAUGAAAAGUGUCGGGCACCACCUACGUAAACUAGGUUCUAACAACCAAAGAGUUAGAUGCAUAGUAUGUGAACUAAAGUGAUGGUACUUCCUUCUCCUGGAAAUGCUCUAACUAUAAGGGGACUCAAAACAUAGGAGACAACCAUGAUCCCACGUACCCGAUCGGACAACCAAACUACACGACAAGUUGCCCUCGUGACACGUUUCUACCGAAUGGUGACGAGGACCGAGGGGAUGCUGAGUGACCAUGGUCAACGCUACACAUGAACGUGUCGGUAAUAUACAGUACCGACCGGUUCUUUAUUGGCCGGCGGACGUAAACCACCGGGUGUCACGCGUUUCGAUGUGUUAUAUGAAUUGUUACAGUCGGUUUUACACCCCACACCCACGCCUGGGUCCGCCGUAGGACGUCUGUAGGUGACGGUUCGAGCUUGAGUUCCUCGGAAUGAUGUCCGACAGAGUUGGUGUUCGAAUAUACGGUGUUCUGGUUGUCGUCGAUGGCAACAGUAGAAACGUCCGCGUUCCUAGACCCGUCGUCUACGUUCUACCAGAGUCGGGACCGUAGUGACAUCUAGUCCUCUCCCUGAGGCGUCGGAAGUGAGCUGUCCAGACUUUCGACACGGCGUACGAAACGAAGGACGUUGCUCUCGAGUCCAGACAUGUUGUUGCUCUCGACGGUUACCGAUUGUAACGCAGGUCAACGCCAUCCUCUAGUAGUACAGGCUCAACACGUCGAUUUGCACGAGCAGGGACGGGGCGGUAAACUACAGUCUUUUGUUAUUAUCACUAACUUGGCGUUCAGCUUCGAUCUUCUGUAGAUUGUCUCUUCUCCCAACAUGCAAGAAUACAUAUUAAGAUGUUUAACUAACAACGCGCACCCUCAUCUUAUAACUAUCUUACUAUCAGUAGUAACAACAGGCGAACGAGUUUGAAUUAUUGUUCAUUUUCCACUCGGGUCAAAAGAGGCAAUUAUUGAAGAUUGACCAGGCCAAAUCGAAGGGUCUGACGACAAAAAUACGACGUAACACGAACCAAGUUAAAAAACCCAGAUCAAACUUCUCUUCAAAUUACGAUCUACCACGUGUACGAAGCGAACGCCGCCUGGGUUCUCGGUUCUACUUCCCCAGUAAGGAAAGCGGGUACCUAGAACGGUUGUAAGGGGCGAUUUUUCCUAGAAACGAUUGUAGUCAGUUGACAGGCCGUGCUAGACCGUUACGGUCGACGUCUAUCCCCAACCGAAACCGCCAAUGACAACGUGUUAGACGACGUUGGUCAAUUAAUCACCUUUGUUAGUGCUGUACAGCUAACAAUCCGACCAGUAUCACCUCUCAUUGAAUCUGAUCAUUGUAUGUAUAUAAUGAUGGAAGUAUCACCCAUCACAGUAUCCACACCAUUGUAUCAACGGAAGUAAAUAAUGAAACAUCUGAGUAAUACGUAACCUUUGGCGAUACACUACCAUUGUAUAAUACAAUGAGAUAAACGGAGAGAGGAAUAAUUGAUGAACGGUGUAGUAGUUAAAACGAAUACACCGUAAAUACAAUGAUGGAUACAAUGAGGGUGAUACUGGUCGGAAUGGAAAGACAAAGCCCUAGAUGUCACACCGCUUCUAGAACAAGGUCGGGCAUCCCCGGCAUCCCGCCCUCUAGGUUACGCUGCGGCGCGCGUCCCCGACGCACUUUCACCACUUCUGGGCUGUGUAGUGUGUGCACUCCACGCGCCACACUACUAGUGUGCUCGCGUAGUUGCACGGCCACUGCCUUGAAGGAAGGAAGCAUACCAAGCCAGAUGGCUCCGCAAACUAAAGAGACCGUGCUCCUACUUGGCGGGAAACCAACGAGUUUUUGUUCUGCUGCGACGAGUUGGUGGCACUGUUCUUCACAAGCAUGUGACUAUUUUUUCUUCACAAGCAUGUAGUAAGUACACUUUUAUCACAGGGACGUCUUCAGCGUCGAAUGAAAAAAAAACUCCCUAUUGACCCUAAAAUAAGUUUCGAUUAUUUCAA
rnacentral:rRNA from 1 species